GUUGGUUUUGCCCCAGAAUUGUGAGAGUUUUCAAAGCAAAAUACUGAUUGGAGGUUUGAGGCUUUAAAAAUAACAGAGGGAAAGAAAAAAGAAGAAGGAGGGGGGGGGGGGGGACGACUUGGAAAGCUUCCAACAUAUAUCCAAUAUGUAAGAAAUCCAGAAGAUACGGUAAAUUUUAAAAAGAUUAUAAAUAAAAUAAGUAGCUGUAAGAAAAGACAGGCAUUAUAAUAGAUAAAUGACCUGGAAGCAGUGGCUUAAAACCUAAAAGAAUCACAUCUUAUUUCUUUCCUAGAUAUACUAAUAUACUGGAUGUACUCCAUAUAUUACUAUACUAAGACAAGUAACUUGGAAAAUUAAGAUCUGAUAGUAUGAGAACUCUAAAACACUUCUCACUCUUCUGUACUAUUGUACAAAUAUUUUAAGUAGUGACAUGCCAGCUUACUUUCUUUUUUUUUAUUUUUAAGGGCUAAUUUAAUUUUAAAAAAAUUGUAUCGAUAGACGUCCAAAACCCAACAAGAAAUUCUGAAAAUCUUGCUAAGUCAGUGAGAAAAUGCAGCUGAAGUGCUCAACCAAAGAGUUCAACAGGACUCCAGGAACUGCAGGGUUGGGGGAGAUGCUCUAAUACCUUAGAACAGAAGAGCCAGAAAUGUAUGGAAAAUGAUACAUUCUUGAAAUCAAUCGGUAAGCAAGUUUUUCCUCUUCUUUUAAUAGAACGGCAAACUCUCUGACCGCUGCCUGUCAAAAAACAAUAACCCAGUGACAGCCAUCAGCACCUACUCAUUGAAAAAUAUGCCCGUCUCUACUCUGUUCUAAUAAAAUGCGGAUUGCAUCAAAAAGGGAAUAUUCUUCAGGGUGUUGCUUACCCAGUGUUGUCUGUAUAUGACAUCAGUAUAUAUAUUUUUGAGAUACUACUAUCUCGUACUUCAAGGCAUACCUAUUUUCUCUAAUUGCCAGAGGCUAAGGGGAGGUGCACUAAAGAAUAAAGAAGGUUAUUGUGACAGAUGAAACAUAAUUCACAAUGAGUACUCUUUUCAUCCAGCCUUAAGUAGCAGAGGAUUACUCCGAGCUGAAUUUUAGGGGAGUAUGUAUGAUCUGAUUUAAUAAUAUGAGGACAGGCCACAAGCUGGAAGGCAAUAUAAACCAAUUAUGCUUUUGCUGAAUGUUUGGGGGGUUUUGUUGUUGUUUUUGGUGUUUUUUUUCCCUCUUCUUUUCUGGAAGGUGAAGAAAUGUUAACGUGAAGAGUGUCUGAAGAAACACGAGGAAAAGUAAGAAGUGCCGAGAAAUAAAAGUUGGGAUUUUCUGGAAUGGAUAUUGAUAAAUGAUUAUUCUAUAUUUCUGCUUCAUGACACUUAAAUGAAAUAAGACCAUGCAAUUUCUUCAGUAAACAUGCGCUGUGAAACACAUAAAACUUUCAGCAAAAUUGAAGGGGAAGGUCUUCUUAGCAAAAGAAGGAAAAAAGAGUGUCUCUGAAUAUGCUUGCAUGCAACAACAACAACGAAAGAAGUCCACAACUGAAGACUAAAAAACAUUGUUUUAAUGCUGAGUCA
ensembl:lncRNA